GUUUCCUCGGCAGGCUUGCUUGUCGGUUGGACAAUUCUAUAACCUUUUUAAUUUUCAAUCAGCGUCUGCAAAAACGUAAUAAUUACAACUUUCAACAACGGAUCUCUUGGUUCUGGCAUCGAUGAAGAACGCAGCGAAAUGCGAUAAGUAGUGUGAAUUGCAGAAUUCAGUGAAUCAUCGAAUCUUUGAACGCACAUUGCGCCCCUUGGUAUUCCAUGGGGCAUGCCUGUUCGAGCGUCAUUUGUACCCUCAAGCUUUG
rnacentral:rRNA from 1 species